AUGUUGCAUCUCAAAAUCAAGAUGUUGAUUCAAGAAGAGAAAGGAGCUGUCGGCGUGCCAUGGGAGGUGGAUGGUCUCCGCUGCGUCGUGAGCGCCGUCGCCGCCUCUGCGACCACCUUGCUCCGCAUAGUAGCAUGUGUGAGGAAUCGGGGACAAGCGACCACGAGAAGAUGGCGUCGGCGGCAACGGCAAUGCGCAUGUUGCGCGAAGCCUGGUAAGAUGGGCGCGGCCUCUCCGCAGGCAUUUCAGGAUGGCGUGCCCGACGGCUUGGAACGCGCGCGCCCGGCGCACAGGAGGUGUGUCUUGGAGCACGCCGGCGGCAACAUGCACCAUGAGGUCCCGGAGCAGCCCAACCAGUACAGGAGGAACCCUGCCAUUCCAUCCUCACCUCUGGUCACAGAUUUUGCCUAUUCUCUGAGAUGGAUGAUGAUGAGCGGUGCAACCGAAAAUUCAGAGCUGGGCUUUACACACUUCAGUGGGAGUAGCAUGACAACACCAAGGUAG
rnacentral:rRNA from 1 species